UUAUAAUAGUGAUUCUAUGUGACAACUAGUUAUCUGAGACAUUAAUUUUUGUAAUUCUGCUACCUCAAAUAGCAAAUAUGUCAAAUAACAAGCUGCACAUAGAUUGACAAGUGUAAUCAUUGAGUAUGAUAGUAUUGCUCGUUUUUAAACAUACUGCAAUAACACAGAUUAAAUGGAACCUUAUUCUAGCUCACAAGCCCAAUCAAUAUCUAAUCCCUUCAGACUCCUACCUUCAAAUCACCAUAAUCUCUCCUCCAUCACCAUGAGAAUAGAGAUAAAAAUCGCACCACUAGAGAAGGCCAUCACAGGGUGUUUUUGUGCUUCCAUACAACAUCUCCGCUCCUUUUAUGAGGACAUCGACCAUGAUAUGAAGAUAACAAGAUGGUUCUACUUUCACUCGUGGCCAGAAAGAGGUGGAGACGACAACGCUUCUUGCCAACACUGCCUCUCCC
rnacentral:lncRNA from 1 species